CAGUCGCCGCGGUAAUACGUAGGUGGCAAGCGUUGUCCGGAAUUAUUGGGCGUAAAGCGCGCGCAGGCGGAUCAGUCAGUCUGUCUUAAAAGUUCGGGGCUUAACCCCGUGAUGGGAUGGAAACUGCUGAUCUAGAGUAUCGGAGAGGAAAGUGGAAUUCCUAGUGUAGCGGUGAAAUGCGUAGAUAUUAGGAAGAACACCAGUGGCGAAGGCGACUUUCUGGACGAAAACUGACGCUGAGGCGCGAAAGCCAGGGGAGCGAACGGGAUUAGAUACCCCAGUAGUCCCUGUCUCUUAUACA
rnacentral:rRNA from 1 species